UAAAAAUGGUAUUUUCCCCUGCGGAAAUAAAGCAACCAUUUUCGGGUUGAUCUGUAAAAACCGAAAUGUUAUCAUCAAACUCCGGUUUCAGCCGGCUACUUCCACGCGCCGCCCCCGAUUCCCCGCCGCUCAUCCCCACGCGUCGGCCGUGGCGCCAGCUCUUCUCCCCCUCUUCCCUCUCGAGGCCCUAUACCCUCGGCGAGGCCGUUCACCGCAUCAGGCGCAACCUUGCUUACUUCCGCGUAAACUACGCCAUCAUCGCGCUGUCGAUCCUCUUCCUCAGCCUGCUGUGGCACCCUGUCUCCAUGAUCGUGUUCCUCAUCGUCUUCGUGGCUUGGCUCUUCCUCUAUAUCUCCCGCGACGAGCCCGUGGUUGUCUGCAAUCACCAAGUGGACGAGCGCGCGGUGGUCGUGUUCCUCGCCGCCGUCACGAUCGUUGCCUUGGUUCUGACCGACGUGUGGCUGAACGUGGUGGUCUCGGUGCUGACAGCGGCUUUACUGGUCUCCCUGCACGGCGCUUUCAGGAGCCCCGACGAUCUUUACAACGACGAGGAAAGCGUGGACGGGUGGCUGGAAUCGGUAGUGGGGAGCCCGACGAGUUCCGGCUACACUCCCAUUUAGGUUUUGCUAGUUUAUUUUGCCGUCUCAUCAACCAAAUGAUCCUCCUGCGCAAGCCAAGACAUGCUUCAGUGCUCGCUCGUUCUUGCGGGGAAGGCAAUUUGAUAAUGGAUGAGUGUUAUUUUUUAAUUGACAAGUUACCUCUUAAAUAAUUCUGUUUGCUGUUAUCUAUCAAGGUGACAAAUUAGUUGCUCGGCAUGUGUUUGGGAACCUCCAAAUGGAAGUAACUUGACUUUCCUUUGACUCUGUACAAUAUGUUAAUUACUAGCAAAGCAGAAUACUAUCUUUGAACAGAGUUCUGGUCCAUUUGUUAACUGAUCACUGACUAGCACAUUCUAUGGGUUAAGAAAAAUGUAUCAAGCAGUUUAAAUUGGGCAAAUUUGGUAAUAUGCCGAGAUUGUGGUGGUACCUUUAUCAGUUGAUAAAAGCUAACGGGUAAGCAUUUAAUGUCAACUUGGUAUGCAGAUAUUCUCAUGAUAGUGUAGUAUAAUGAAAUAGCUGUCAUAUGGGAAAUAGUAUUCUGAAACCAGGGUAACACCCCAAUCAGAGACUCAGCAUAAGCUGUUCUAGCGAAUUGGGUUAAUCGCAUUGCCUUAAUCAUUGAUCAUUUCAUUGAAACUCUAGGAAGAGAAAGGAUAUAUGGAGAAUUGUCAAGUUGCUUGCAAUUCUAGUAGAUGCCACAUACGUUGCUUGUGUUGUUUCGUUUAUGGCUUUGCAAUAGAAUGUAGUAAGGAGGUAAUGCUCUCGCAUGACUUUCGGUGUAAUCUGAACCUUAUCUGUCUUAUGAACGGGGAUAAUACUGGCGUGAGUUUGAUCCAUGCAAUGGACUAGUGGUAACAGUGUUUAACUUAGAGGAGGCUACUUUCAUGGGAGGAACAACCGAGGCAUCGGUUCUUGUGAGUAUGAUCAGUCAGAAAUCAAGUUUGCCAGAUGUGAGAGUGGGAAUAUUUCUAUUAUUUCAUCUUCUCCCUGGAAAGAAAAUGAAUCCACCUUUGAUCGAACCCUUGGGAACCCAGCAAUGGGAAUACUUAUUUGAAUUGCUUGGAUGAGAAAACUUAAAUCUCAGGGUUUCAUCAAUUGUGAUUGGUUCAUGGAGUCGGUAAAAAUGUCUGCCGUUUUAGCUGGUUGAUAUACUUACUGGACGUGAAUCUAUGAAGUCAAUCUGGUUUGAGCUAUGAACCAGGUGGGAUGUCAAUGUGAGGUCCGCUUAUCCCAUGUUAACUCGUUUUCCUCAGGGCCCUCGAUUUUCUCCAGGCUAGCAAUUCAGAGUAAAGUAAAUGGAGUCGAGCUUUCCGAGGUCUUGGAUCUCUGGAAUCAAAAUGAAGGGGGUCGUAUGCAGUUGUCGGGGUACAAAGAUGAAGCCGUGUCUUCGGAAUAGCUCCAGAAGGCACCUGGAAGACAUGGAGUGGCGGCAAUUUUACGAACCUCCAGAAAGGUCAAUUCCCUUUCUACCUUUUGUUUUCCUUUUUGGCGACUCUUAUGGAUAUGCUAGAGCGGCCCCAUCCCUGGCUUGGGCCCCUGGCCCCCUACUCCGGCCAUCGCUCUGCUCCGAUCAACCCGCACUCCCUCUGGCUCUCUCCCGAGCGGUUAUGGCUCGCCUUAAGCCACUACUACUGGAGACCUGAUGAGGAGAGAGAGACAUGAGGUCACGGGCAGCUUUCUCUUCAACGCGUGAAUACAGUGGGCGCUGACCGAGAAUACUUUAAUAUGAGUGGUUAUUAUAGACAACAGUCCUAAUUCUUCCAAGCUUGUGCGAAUUUUGAGAACUAUUACGGGUCAAAAUUAUGCCAAGGAGGGAUAGGUCUCGAUUGAUGGUUGCUCAAUGCUGGCCACCACCACUUAAAUAGAUGGCCGGAGUACGGGUGAGGGUAUGCCAAGCGUAGGGGUCAAAGUCAUCUUUGUUUUCCUUUUCCCAGAAGAAUUUGAAUUUUUUUUUUCACUUGGAGCUUCUUCUUCUUUUUUUUUUUCCCUGGAUCACAUGCUUUGCUCAUGUCAUAUUCCGUUAAAUUUGACAGAAUUAUUAACUGUAGGGGAUAUUUUCCACACCUGUGGCUGGGAAAGGCUGUGGGUAUCUUUUACCUGAUAAAUACAUAUCCUUCAUCAUGUACAUUUAAUCAAUUUUGAGUUAUAUACGUCCACGUGCCAUAUA